ACUGCUCAGUAACACGUGGAUAACAUGCCCUAAGGUGGGGGAUAAUCUCGGGAAACUGAGGAUAAUACCCCAUAGGUCUGAUCUGCUGGAAUGCUUUCAGGCCGAAAACUCCGGUGCCUUAGGAUUGGUCUGCGGUCUAUCAGGCUGUAGUGGGUGUAAUGGACCCACUAGCCCGUGACGGAUAUGGGCCUUGAGAGAGGGAGCCCAGAGAUGGACUCUGAGACAUGAGUCCAGGCCCUACGGGGCGCAGCAGUCGCGAAAACUUCGCAAUGGGGGCAACCCCGACGAGGGAAUUCCAAGUGCCAGCACUUUGUGUUGGCUGUUCUCCUGUCUAAAAAACAGGAGGAGUAAGGGGCGGGUAAGACGGGUGCCAGCCGCCGCGGUAAUACCCGCGCCCCUAGUGGUGGUCGAUAUUAUUGAGCCUAAAACGUCCGUAGCCGGUCUUCUAAAUCCUUGGGUAAAUCGGGCAGCUUAACUGUCCGAAGUCCGGGGAGACUGGGAGACUUGGGACCGGGAGAGGUCAGAGGUACUUCUGGGGUAGGGGUAAAAUCCUGUAAUCCUGGAAGGACCACCGGUGGCGAAGGCGUCUGACUAGAACGGAUCCGACGGUGAGGGACGAAGCCCUGGGGCGCAAACGGGGUUAGAUACCCCGGUAGUCCAGGGUGUAAACGCUGCGGGCUUGGUGUUGGGGGUCCUUAGUGGGCGCCCAGUGCCGGAGAGAAGUUGUUAAGCCUGCUGCUUGGGGAGUAUGUCCGCAAGGAUGAAACUUAAAGGAAUUGGCGGGGGAGCAC
rnacentral:rRNA from 1 species